AUAGUGAAAUGUCAUACACUGUAAAUCAGUGGCAUUUGCUAAAUUAAAUUAGUUAAUUUAACAAAAAAAGUUAUUUCAACUCAAUAUAUAUGUGAUGUGAACUCAAAAUCUAAUUAGGUUAAGGGGAACUCAAUCUAAAUAAGUAUAAAUUAAUUUAAUCUACCAUAUGGUUAUUAUGUCUAAAUGGCUGACCACAAAAUAUUUUAAAGAAAAAUUUGCUUAAUUCAUGAUUUCUAACAUUGUUUUUCUAGAAAUCACGCUUGCUUUAUCUCUUUCAAUAUUAAUUAAAUAGCCUUCAUAACUAAAGAUAAUACAAUAAAUACAUAAAUCUGUUUCAUAUUAAGCAUAGAUCAAUCCUUUUAAAGAAAUUAAUUUUACUCGAGACAAAAUAUUAUCCGGGUGUUUUUCAAAAACCGCGCGCAUUUUUCAGUCAGUCACAUCCGCCCCUCCCCCACAGCUCACAGUCACUGGAUCACAGCCGGACGGCUCGCGACGCCGUCACGGAAAAUAACAGGUAAGCAUUCACUUUUUUAUUCCCAUUUAAAGCACUUUUGAACGUUAUUUUGUGUUUUGUCAAUUUUAUCUGAAGAUUAACCAGCUCAGUUAUCAUUGUAAUGUUAGCUAGCAAAGAAGCAAGGACAACCACAUCAAAGUUAUCAACGGCAAGUGUUAAAUAUGCAGUGUUAUACACAACAGUUUGUCAGUGAUAAAUUAAGGUGGGUGGGUGUGUGUGGUUUCUCACAGCUGGACACAGACAAACGAGUCCCGCGAAUUGUAUUUUUAAACUGGAGAGACAGCUGACAGGAUGUUGUCAUCUGUAACCGUCACUCGCCACAGUUCUCAAGCGAGAGCAAAGGCAGCGAGGGGUGGUGUGAUGUCAUUUGCAACAAGACGGCUGAUACUAAUAUGAGCCUAAAAUAAAGGACAAUAAUGGCAUCAGCCAUUCAAGUUAUGAUCCUGGCAGAUCUACUACUAUCUGAAAAGUAGUCUCUGCAGAUUGUUUCAAGAUACACAAGAUGGAGCGUGGAGAGACGGGACAUGGACCACAGUUUUCAGCACCCACACCCCACACUCAAAUUCAUAUAGAAGUUCUCAAUUAUUAAAUGUUAAUUUCAUAGUUUAUAUUUAGCUGUGAAGUUAUAGUUCAUUGUCAUAAAUAUUAAACUACAUAUUAUUAUUAUUUUACAUGAUAUGCAAAUUUCACCAAUUUGUUUAAUGUGUUAAUUAACUUUUUGAAAGUGAUUAUCUUUAAUAAUUCAGAUACCUGUUGAAAUGCACAUGUAAUUAUAUACUUGCUCGUAUCUGGAAGGUUGUGUUAAUAAAAAUGAUGUUGAAAGCGAAUGUUGCAAUACUGCUAAUCUUAAAAUAACAUUUUAUUAAACUAAACUUUGUAAUGUUCCAAAUAAAUGUUUUUAGGGUGUUGUAUUUUUAAGAAAAUGUAGGUGGAAAUAAAGUUGUAGGAACAUUAUGCUAACCAUAAAAUAAUGUUCUAGCAACGUUAGGCAAACUGGACAUUUUGACGUUCUUGGAAUGUUCCAAAUAAACAUUAGAACAUUAUAUUUUUAAUGAAAAUUAGGUUGCAAGAACAUUGCAGGAAACUUAUGCUAACCAUAAAAUAACGUUCUAGCAACGUUAAGCAAACUGGAAAUUUUAACGUUUUUGGAAUGUUCCAAAUAAAAGUUCAUAGAACGUUAUAUUUUUAAAUUAAAUUUAGGUUGCAGGAACGUUAUGCUAACCAUAAAAUGUUCUAAGAACGUUAAGCAAACUGGACAUUUUAACGUUUUUGGAAUGUUCCAAAUAAACGUUCAUAGAACGUUAUAUUUUUAAAUGAAAUGUAGGUUGCAAGAACGUUGCAGGAACGUUAUGCCAACCAUAAAAUAACGCUCUAGGAACGUUAAGCAAACUGGACAUUUUAACGUUCUUUGAAUGUUCCAAAUAAACAUUCAUAGAACGUUAUAUUUUUAGUGAAAUUUAGGUUGCAAUAACGUUGUAGGAACAUUAUGCUAACAAAAAAAUAACGUUGUAGGAACGUUAAGCAAACUGGACAUUUUAACGUUCUUGGAAUGUUCCAAAUAAACGUUCAUAGAACGUUAUAUUUUUAGUGAAAUUUAGGUUGCAAGAACGUUGUAGGAACGUUAUGCUAACCAUCAAAUAACGUUCUAGCAACGUUAAACAAACUGGACAUUUCCACAUUUUUGGAACAUUCCAAAUAACGUUCCCACAACCAAAACAGAACGUUACAAAAACGUUCUCAGAACAUAAAUUUGUUAGCUGGGUUCUGCUUAACAUUUUUGUGGAAACUGUUUUGUAAUUAAUGUUUCCUGGCUGAAUAAAGUAUUAAACUAACCAUUUUGAAAGCUUUUUUCAUCUUGAAUUGGUAGUUACUUAUUACUGACCUAUGUUCCUUUUUCUAGGAAAAAGUGUCAUGUGUGAAGGAAGCCAAAGCCUCAUUGACUGUGGUAAUGGUGUGAUUUGGAUUCAUCAUGCCAAUUACGGAUGGCGGGAUCUUGUAACCUGUCCUCAUAAAUUAGCAACAUCACCAGACUGUUACUCUCAUCAGACCCGCAGCCUGCGUUCCAGGUUGUAAACUCUUAAGUCCUGAUGUGAAACCAGUCGAGCACCGCGGCUCUAGAGAACGCCCUGUAUGCUGAGAGCAGUUUCAUCUGUCAAUCAGUGGCAGGGAACGUGAAGCAGCACCUACGCAGUCAAACCAGGAAGGAUUCAAGAGCAAAAGCAGGUCAGAAUAUAUGACCAAAGCUCAUUGCAUUCAACCUAGCGUAUCAAAAUGCCAUUCGUUUGGCUUUUACAACUGAUAGAAAGACACUGAAUAAAAUAAAUUUGAAUCAAAUAAAAAUUUCGAUGACGAGUACUCACUAGACCCAUGGCAUAUAAAGUCGAGCGUGUCUAUAGAGGAGAGGUUGAUUUAGGCUGUUACUCUGUUUUGCUGCCUCCACCGCCGCAGUCUCUCAGAAUGAAGUGAGCGCAGGAAAUGGUGAAAUCUGGAAGGGAGAUUCCUGAUGCCAGCACUCGGCGAGGGUGUGGCGGCAGGUACUGCCCUGUAGACUGACGUUUUGCCAAAGUUUUUUUUUGUUCUUUACAUAUCAGUGUUCUCAGAGCCAAGGUCUCAGAGCAGAUAAACAUCCCACUCACCUGACAUAUAUCCUCAAAUUUAUUAUACCUUCCACCUAAAUCUUUUUUUUUUUUUUUUUGAAUGUCCAUUCCUGCAGACUGAUUAAGAGAGAUUCAGUAAAGCAAUUCAUGGAUGUCAAAAUAUCUUUUCUGCCUUCUUAAGUUUGCUCAACGAGUGCACUGCGUGUUUGUUUUGAGCCGUACAGCAGAGCUGAAACAUGCCCCAGGAGCUCGGUAACCCUUAUCUGACUGAUAGGACAGAACUCGUGGGAGUUUCCCGGCCGAGAGGAGGGAAGCAUGGCGACAGUUGCUGUUUAGAGCCAAUCGGAUUAAUCCCCCCAGCUGCUUUCCAGUGCUAAUCCAAUGGGAUUUGGAGCUGCGAAAAAGUCGGAAGCACCAGCCGGCGCCUGAUAGGAGCAGAG